rnacentral:rRNA from 1 species
AACAAACGCUGGCGGCGUGCCUAACACAUGCAAGUCGUACGAGAAAGUUGGCUUCGGCCAAUGAGUAAAGUGGCGCACGGGUGAGUAACGCGUGGAUAAUCUGCCCUCUGGUCAGGGAUAACCAAUCGAAAGGUUGGCUAAUACCCGAUCCUACUCUUGCACUGCGGUGCAAUAGUUAAAGAUGGCCUCUGUAUACAAGCUAUCGCCGGAGGAUGAGUCCGCGUACCAUUAGCUAGUUGGCAGGGUAAUGGCCUACCAAGGCAAUGAUGGUUAGCUGGUCUGAGAGGAUGGCCAGCCACACUGGAACUGAGACACGGUCCAGACUCCUACGGGAGGCAG